rnacentral:rRNA from 1 species
UGGGGAAUCUUGCACAAUGGGGGCAACCCUGAUGCAGCGACGCCGCGUGAGCGAUGAAGCCCUUCGGGGCGUAAAGCUCUUUCGACCGGAACGAUAAUGACGGUACCGGGAGAAGAAGCUGCGGCUAACUACGUGCCAGCAGCCGCGGUAAUACGUAGGCAGCAAGCGUUGUUCGGAGUUACUGGGCGUAAAGGGCGCGUAGGCGGCGCGGUAAGUCACUUGUGAAAUCUCUGAGCUUAACUCAGAACGGCCAAGUGAUACUGCUGUGCUAGAGUGCGGAAGAGGCAACCGGAAUUCUUGGUGUAGCGGUGAAAUGCGUAGAUAUCAAGAGGAACACCCGAGUCGAAGGCGGGUUGCUGGGCCGACACUGACGCUGAUGCGCGAAAGCCAGGGGA